UCAGGCCUAACACAUGCAAGUCGUACGAGAGUUUUUAACUCUAGUGGCGGACGGGUGAGUAACACGUGAGAAUUUGCCUUUAGGAGGGGGAUAACAAUUGGAAACGAAUGCUAAUACCCCAUAUGCUUUUGAGUGAAAUGGAUUUUAUCCGCCUAGAGAGAAGCUCGCGGCUGAUUAGCUUGUUGGUAAGGUAAGAGCUUACCAAGGCGACGAUCAGUAUCUGGUUUGAGAGGACGAUCAGACACACUGGAACUGAGACACGGUCCAGACUCC
rnacentral:rRNA from 1 species